rnacentral:lncRNA from 1 species
CCGCCUUUGGAUGAGCUAGGUUCGCCAGUUGUUGACGUGUAGCACAGGAUGUGUUCACCAAAAGUUCCUUCCAGUCUUUCCUGCAGCGGAUGACACUGAACGCGGUGACAGCUGUGCUGCGUCUCCUCAACCACCUAGAUGGAUGCAGCCUUUCUUUCCAGGGUGGUAGUGGCUGAUGCGAAUCGAGACUAGUGGAAGGAAGUGCCUCAGCUAAAUCAAAGGUCAACCUAGUUUCCGUGUAAGUGUGAUCGUUCACUGUCAUUAUACCAAGAAAGCAAGCCAAAUGAGCUUUUUUG